CCUACGGGCGGCUGCAGUGGGGAAUAUUGCACAAUGGGGGAAACCCUGAUGCAGCGACGCCGCGUGUGGGAAGAAGGUCCUCUGGAUUGUAAACCCCUUUCCCCAGGGACGAAGAUGACGGUACCUGGGGAGGAAGCUCCGGCUAACUACGUGCCAGCAGCCGCGGUAAUACGUAGGGAGCGAGCGUUGUCCGGAAUUACUGGGUGUAAAGGGAGCGUAGGCGGGAGUGCAAGUUGGGUGUCAAAUCUACGGGCUCAACCUGUAGCCGCAAUCUAAACUGCAGUUCUUGAGUGAAGUAGAGGCAGGCGGAAUUCCUAGUGUAGCGGUGAAAUGCGUAGAUAUUAGGAGGAACACCAGUGGCGAAGGCGGCCUGCUGGGCUUUUACUGACGCUGAGGCUCGAAAGCGUGGGGAGCAAACAGGAUUAGAUACCCUGGUAGUC
rnacentral:rRNA from 1 species